rnacentral:antisense_RNA from 1 species
CGUAGCGGUAGGACGGGAGAGGGACACCCACGGGUGUGCUUGUGUAUUACCAAGUCUGCGAACCCUCUUUCGUUCUGCCACCAUA